rnacentral:rRNA from 1 species
UGGGGAAUUUUGCGCAAUGGGGGAAACCCUGACGCAGCAACGCCGCGUGAGUGAUGAAGGCCUUCGGGUCGUAAAGCUCUGUCAGAGGGGAAGAAGUGUGAGGUGGCUAAUAUCCAUUUCACUUGACGGUACCUUCAAAGGAAGCACCGGCUAACUCCGUGCCAGCAGCCGCGGUAAUACGGAGGGUGCGAGCGUUGUUCGGAAUUAUUGGGCGUAAAGCGCGUGUAGGCGGUUUUUUAAGUCUGAUGUGAAAGCCCUGGGCUCAACCCGGGAAGUGCAUUGGAAACUGGGAGACUUGAAUACGGGAGAGGGCAGUGGAAUUCCUGGUGUAGGAGUGAAAUCCGUAGAUAUCAGGAGGAACACCGGUGGCGAAGGCGGCUGCCCGGACCGAUAUUGACGCUGAGACGCGAAAGCGUGGGGAGCAAACAG